UACAGAGGGGGCAAGCGUUAUUCGGAAUUAUUGGGCGUAAAGGGCGCGUAGGCGGCCAGGCAAGUGGAAGGUGAAAUCCCUCGGCUUAACCGAGGAACUGCCCUCCAAACUGCUUGGCUUGAGACCGGGAGAGGUGAGUGGAAUUCCCAGUGUAGCGGUGAAAUGCGUAGAUAUUGGGAGGAACACCAGUGGCGAAGGCGGCUCACUGGACCGGUACUGACGCUGAGGCGCGAAAGCGUGGGGAGCAAACGGG
rnacentral:rRNA from 1 species